rnacentral:rRNA from 1 species
UACGGAGGGUGCAAGCGUUAGUCGGAAUUACUGGGCGUAAAGGGUGCGUAGGCGGGGAUAUAAGUCAGAUGUGAAAAACCGAAGCUCAACUUCGGCAGUGCAUCUGAAACUGUAUUUCUAGAGGGAAAGCGGAGAAAACGGAAUUCCACGUGUAGCGGUGAAAUGCGUAGAUAUGUGGAAGAACACCUGUGGCGAAAGCGGUUUUCUAGCUUACCCCUGACGCUGAGGCACGAAAGCAAGGGGAGCAAACAGG